CCCGGCCUCCGGGAGCGGCUCCUGGCUGAGCCGGGCGGCCCCGAAAGAGAGGCACCGAUCCCGCGGGUCGAGACGCGUUCGGGCCCGGCGGAGAGUCGGGCGGGCGCCUUCGGUUCUCGCCGGGCUCCGAUCGGCAGCGGCGCGUGCUGAGCUCCUGCCCCGCACGUGGAGUCCCCGACGCCCGUUUUCCGUCUCGCGGUCCGUCCCCGUGCGGAGCUCCCGGAGCCGCGUGAAGCCGACACGGAGCCGCGUCGUGUCGGCCCCGAGGAGGGGAGCUGCGAGGGGGGAGCGGUUGUGAGGAUGGGAACUGGUUGGGAACGCGCUCAUCUCUCCGCUUCGUGCUCUGUGUGUGAAAUGAUUAAAGGUGGAGCUUUGCUUUCUCAGCACUUCCGCCCGCAGUCGUUUCUGCAGCUCCGGUGACCCCCCCACCCCCCAUCCCCGUGCCCACCUCCGGGUAAGGACGGGGCAGCACCAACGGCAGCGUCAUAGCACUGCAACCAGCAGCCCCGUCCCUCCCUGCCUCCAAAAUCCCCUCCCCUCCUCAGUCAGCACUGGGUGGGAACGUAGGGAUGGGGAAUGGUUGGGCUGGGAUUGCGGGAGAGCUGGGGCGGCUCGGCCUGCAGAAGAGGAGGCUCAGGGGGAUCCCAGGCACGGCCAUCAGUCCCUGCAGGGAGGUGCAGAGAGGACGGAGCCGGGCUGCACCCAGCGGUGCCCAGCAGCAGGACCAGAGGCGCCGGG
rnacentral:lncRNA from 1 species